AUUAGUCUCGGUUUUGUGAGUCGCAACCACGACCACAAAGAGCAUAUCAUUGCAACGUUUAUGCGUUUUGUUUCAAAAGUUGAUGCACUUAAAAUUCGAUAAACUAGUUUAUAUAAAAUGCGUUUUACGUAUUUAUUACGUUCCAUAUAUAAGUGCAAAUAUUCUGUUGAAAAACUGGAUCGAUUUGUGGUAAAAAUUUUCAAUCGACGAAAUUAAUAAAAUUCCCAGAAAGAAGACCGGUCACUGAUACUUGGAAAUUGAAGUUAAAAUACUGACCAGGGAACCUUUCCAACCCUUCAAGUUCGAUUGAGCUACAAUUUGGAUGACUGAAAGAGCUCAUAACCUAUGCCUCAGAACGAAAUUUUGAGCUCCCGAAGCGGAAUUUUCGAUGAUUGCAGAAAUAGCUUAUCGCUACAAGUAGUUACUCAGCAUCAAAAUAUUGGGGUACUUGGCAAGAAGACAGAAUACAAAACAAUAAUCUUACUUUCAGUCUAACGGCAUCGUCCAGCGAAGCUGAAGCAUGAUAACUCAAUAACUCCAAUGUAACACUUUGCUUAGCCAUUGCUAUCACAGCCUUUUCAUACCUGAAAAUACACACAAAAAAAACAACAA